GACAUCAAUCAAUUUUUAUUUAAAACCUGGUCUGUUAAUGGGUCGGAUGUAUAAAACUCGGUCUGUUAAUUGGUCUGUUAAGAGUUAUGAAUGGCAAUAAAAGAAUAAUUUUAUUGCUACUAUGUGGGGUGUUGUCGCAUCAUGGGUAGGCUCAAGACGAACGGCUAAAAUAUACGGAAACAACACAUGAACACUGAAACAUAAAAUAUAGGGAAACAACACAUGAACAAUGAAACAUAAAAUAUCGGAAA
rnacentral:lncRNA from 1 species